UACGAAGGACCCGAGCGUUAUCCGGAUUUAUUGGGUUUAAAGGGUGCGUAGGCGGACUAUUAAGUCAGUGGUGAAAUCUCCUCGCUUAACGAGGAAACUGCCAUUGAUACUGAUGGUCUUGAGUACAACUGAUGUGGGCGGAAUAUGACAUGUAGCGGUGAAAUGCUUAGAUAUGUCAUAGAACACCGAUUGCGAAGGCAGCUCACAAAAUUGUUACUGACGCUGAGGCACGAAAGCGUGGGGAUCAAACAGG
rnacentral:rRNA from 1 species